UUGAUUAAAGUUUGAUUAAAUCGAUUAAUUAAAUUAAAUAGGAUUAAUUAUCAAAAUUAUUUAAAUUAAAAUUAAAUAAUCCAGUUAAUUAAAAUUAAUUAAUAGUAAUUAACUAAUUGGACAAAAUUCAAUUAAUUAAUUUUUUAUAAUUAAAAGAGAAGGAAUUAAGUGAUGAUGUUGAUAUAUUUAAUCAGAUCGGUGUGCUCAAACCAGUUUGUGCGAAACGACAACAGGACCAAUGUCAUUCGCGAAAUCCAAACGCGGUGAAAAAUAUUCUAUUGAUGUAUUGGAAUUUUGAUGGAAUAACGACAUACAAAUGUCAAAUCCACGAUUCCAUGCCCGAUUUACACAACACAAUGAGAAAUAAA
rnacentral:lncRNA from 1 species